UUUUGAUGCCAGUCAGGGUCUGGACCAGGGCUGGCUGCCAACCCUUCUGCUCCUCCGCGAUUAUGAGAUUCCCUCCAUGUUCACCUCACUGACUGAGACAGAUAUGACCUACAGUCUGCAAAUCCUGCUGGAGCUGGAGAUGGACCUGAAGGGCAGUGGAGCCAACCCGUUUGCCUCCCUGAAGCCAGAGGUCGUCGGGUCGACGCCCAACAAGCCUCCUGUCUUCUGCAACUCGCACUACUUCAGCUUCCAGGGUUUACUGGCGACGGCGGAGCUGGAGGAGCCAGAGUCGACCUGAAGGGGGCGCCGGUGGAAAACGUUUGUCAUUUCAUUUUUAUAAAUAAAGGGUUAUUAUGUUAUAAUCGUAA